CAGCCGCCACGGUAAUACGAAGGGGGCUAGCGUUGCUCGGAAUGACUGGGCGUAAAGGGCGCGUAGGCGGCAUGUACAGUCAGACGUGAAAUUCCUGGGCUUAACCUGGGGGCUGCGUUUGAUACGUGCAGGCUAGAGUGGGGAAGAGGGUUGUGGAAUUCCCAGUGUAGAGGUGAAAUUCGUAGAUAUUGGGAAGAACACCGGUGGCGAAGGCGGCAACCUGGUCCUUGACUGACGCUGGGGCGCGAAAGCGUGGGGAGCAAACAGGAUUAGAUACCCCCGUAGUCCCUGUCUCUUAUAA
rnacentral:rRNA from 1 species